CACGUGGGGGGCGAGCGUUGUCCGGAUUUAUUGGGCGUAAAGAGCUCGUAGGCGGCUCAGUAAGUCGGGUGUGAAAACUCCAGGCUCAACCUGGAGACGCCACCUGAUACUGCUGUAGCUAGAGUCCGGUAGGAGAGAAUGGAAUUCCUGGUAUAGCGGUGAAAUGCGCAGAUAUCAGGAGGAACACCAGUGGCGAAGGCGAUGCUCUGGGCCGGAACUGACGCUGAGGAACGAAAGCGUAGGAAGCAAACAGG
rnacentral:rRNA from 1 species